rnacentral:misc_RNA from 1 species
CUGCGAGUUCGCGGGAGAGUAAGUUAUUGCCAGGGUUUUUAUUUUAUACUUUAAACAUUGAUUUUAUUUUUUAUGUUUUUAGAUUUUCAUGUUUUUAGAUUUUCAUGUUUUUUAAUGUUUUAUUUAAAUAAUAUAAAAAAUAAAAUAUAUAUAUUGACAUGGAUUAAACAAAGAUAUAUAUUAUUCUAUGUUGCAUAAACAAAUUGGCAAAAUAGAGAUGGAAGAUAAAAAUAUGGUCAAAGUAAUAAGAGUCUAUGGUGAAUGCCUAGGA